AUUGAACGCUGGCGGCAUGCUUUACACAUGCAAGUCGAACGGCAGCGCGGGCUUCGGCCUGGCGGCGAGUGGCGAACGGGUGAGUAAUGUAUCGGAACGUGCCCAGUCGUGGGGGAUAACGUAGUGAAAAUUACGCUAAUACCGCAUACGAUCUAUGGAUGAAAGCGGGGGAUCGCAAGACCUCGCGCGAUUGGAGCGGCCGAUAUCAGAUUAGGUAGUUGGUGGGGUAAAGGCCCACCAAGCCAACGAUCUGUAGCUGGUCUGAGAGGACGACCAGCCACACUGGAACUGAGACACGGUCCAGACUCCUACGGGAGGCAGCAGUGGGGAAUUUUGGACAAUGGGCGAAAGCCUGAUCAGCCAUUCCGCGUGCAGGAUGAAGGCCCUCGGGUUGUAAACUGCUUUUGUACAGAACGAAAAGGUUUCUACUAAUACUAGGAGCUCAUGACGGUAUUGUAAGAAUAAGCACCGGCUAACUACGUGCCAGCCGCCGCCGUAA
rnacentral:rRNA from 1 species